GCCCUCCAAGUUUCCGAAUACAGAUAAAUAAGUGCUCGCGAGAAAGCCAGAGAGUAUCGCUCUCCCACUCUUCAGUACUGCAGAUAAACGGCAGUCUUCACCUCUCUCUCUCUCUCUCUCUCUCUCUCUCUCGCUAGCUUCGACGCUAUUGAUACAGACUUGAAGAAAAUGAUGAUCGCAGAGCCGAAAGCGAAGAACGCAGAGAAUCAGAGACUACCUCCGAGGCGAGGCGGGGUCAUGCGCCGAAUAUUCAAAGGAAUCGCGGUAGCAAUUGGUGUCGUGGUGGUGGGUGGGGUCCGAGAAAAGCACGCCGAGGAGACUGGAGGCGGCUUUCUCAACUCGGAUUCCGCAACCCCAGCUCCAACUCCAACUGGGUAUAAUUCAGAUGCUCUUUCUGAAACAUGAUCACUCAGGUGUUGUUACAGAAUUUCUUCAUUUUUUAUAUUCUUUUUUUAUCCCCCCUUUUGGAAGUGAUUAAAAAUAAGAGUGGAGGAAGGGAUUUGGGUUGAAAGGGCUCAGGAUAUGUAUGGGAAUAUUGUGAAGAUCUUGUCCAGACAUGGCUCAUAUUUGUAAUUAGUUUGUAGUAGUUUAUGUUCAGCUGUUUCCCUAUCGAAUAUAAUUCGUUGAUUGUAAGAUUA